UUUUUCCUUGUAAACUCAUAAUCGAACCAAUCCACCCCCACAACCGCAUAAGCCGCCACCUGACCAAUCUGAUGCCAUAAACAGUCAGGAUUGGUUUUGAUAUAUUGCUCUACCCUAGCUGCGAAUGUUAAUUGAUCAGGUAAUAUUCUUUUCUAAUAUUUUAAGUGGCAUUUCGAGAUAGUUUCACAUAAUAUAUUUAAUAUAUGCUUAAACCAAAUAUAAAAUUAUUUAGUUUGUUUAUUUAUUUAUUUAUUUUUAAACUCAACUUAACCGUAAUAAAACUAGGUUUUUUGUGCAUUUGAUCCCUGACAUUUUGGGUGAUUUUUGGUUUACUCUCUUGUUUUUUCUUUUCUUUUCAGUAAUGUCUGUAUAAUUUUAGAUUUUAAUUGUUUUAAUUCUAACUAGCUUAUUUUCCCGACAUUUUCCAGGUUAUAUAGAACUUAUUAUUAUUUUCUUUGAGUUAUAUGUAUGAUAUUCAUUGGGAUUUAACCCCUCCAAUAGUCAGUCCUUGAACUAGAUACAAUGUUUUGGAAACAAAUUAUUAUAUUCAUUAAAAAUUCCAUAUCUCAUAAAUAAUAAAAGAAAAAGGAUUACUCAUAUUAUAACCCACAAUUCAUUAAAUGAAUUAUCACCAUCUACUUAAAAUAUAAAAUCAAUAAAUUAUAGUUGUGUAAGUUGAAAUAUUAAAACACAAUCACAAAUCUUAGGCUCCAUGGUUUGCCGACAACGCCAAAAUUACCAUCGGAGGUGGAAAAGUUAUACCCUCUUUGACACGGAUGCUUUCUUUAACAUCGAUGAUUUCAUCAAUUUUGACGCCAGGGGUGACAACAAUUUUGUUCUUACCCUUUUUUUCUUCAAUAGCCUUUUUAUAAAUUGAUGAUAAUGCUGGAUUUGGUUCAAUUUAUGUUGGCUAUAAAAGUGUGGUACUAGAUAUGAUAAACCGUCAAUGUGAUGUAGUAUGAAAGGUUUAAUAGAUUUUUUCUCACGUUACUCAGAAUCUAAAAUGCUUUUCACCAAAUCCUAUAGUUACUUGUUGUUCAUGAAGAUGGUGAAUAUUUGAUUAUGAAUACAAAUUUGAGACAGAUAAAUUGUAGAGGUAAAUGAAAAGUCAAAAUAUAUCAAGCCUUGAACCUACAGGUACAUAUAUAUAACUAUAUCAGAAACUACGACAUUUAAUUUUAUCUAUUUCCGAUGCGUAUAAUAAAAAUUUAAUUUAAUCUAUUUGAAAAAUAAAUAAAUAAAAUUCAAAUCCAAAUUUUAGAAUUAAAAUAAUAUAAUAAAUUAAUUAAUAUUAAGAUAUAAUUUUUAAAUAUAAAUAUAAUAUUUUAAAGUUGAACGAUUUUAUUACCUUUUGCCUUUAGUGUCUCGGGAAAGUAAAUUCUUUGCACAAUAUUUGUUUGACCAGAUUAUAUAUUUUAUCAGGUUUUAUAAAGUAUUUUUCAUUACAAGAAAUAAAAUAAUAUUCAUUUCUUUUGAAUUUGGAAAUGGAUAACGUUAUAUACCUACAAAAAGUUAUUAAACAAUUUGGAUAUAAGUAUAUACGCACAUAUAUUCAAAUUAUACUGAUAUCCAAAUUCAAAUGAAAUUAUUUUAUUUUUGGUAAUAAAAAAUAAUUUAUUAAACCUGAUAACGCACAUAAUUUGGUCAAACAAAUAAUGUGCAGAGAAUUUACUUUUUCGAAACACUAAAGGCGAAAAGUAAUAAAAUCCACCAACUUUAAAAUAUUAUCUUUACAUUUGAGAAUUAUAUCUUUAUAUUCAUCUAUUUAUUAUGUUAUUAUAAUUCUAAAAUUUGGAUUUGAAUUUUAUUUCUUUAUUUUGCGAAUAAAUUAAAUUUUCAUUAUAAGCAUCGAAAGUAGAUAAAAUAAAAUGUCGUAGUUUCUGAUUGAUAUAUAUAUAUAUAUAUAUAUAUAUAUAUAUAUAUAUAUAUAUAUAUAUAUAUAUAUGUACCUGUUGGUUCAAGGCAUGAUAUAUUUUGAUUCUUCAUUACCUCUACGAUUUCUCUGUCUUAAAUUUGUAUUCAUCCUUAAAUAUUCACCAUCAUCAUGAAGAACAACAAACAACUAUGGAAUUUGGUGAAACACAUUUCAGAUUUUAAGUUACGUGAGAAGAAAUAUACUGAACCUUUCAUAUCGCAUCACAUUGACGGGUUACUAUCAUAUUUAGCUCCACACUUGUAUAGCCAACAUAAAUUGAAACAAAUUAACCAUUAUCAUCAAUCUAUAAAAAGGCUAUUGAAGAAAGAAAAAAAAUGGUCAAAAGCAAAUUGUUGUCACGCCUGAAAUCAAAAUUGAUAAAAUCAUUGAAGUCAAAGAAAGCUUAUGUGUCAAAGAGGGCAUCAACUUUGCCACCUUCGAUGGUGAUUUUGGCUUUGCCGACAAGCCAUGGAGCCUAAGAUUUGUGAUUGUGUUUUCGAGGUUCACGCACACACAAAUACACACAUCUAAUUUAAUUUUAAUCCAAUAACUAUUUAAAAUUUUCUCUACCAAUUUAUCAUUCAAACAAUGAAUUAUCUAUUGUAAAAAAAAAUUGGUUACAAAAUGUUUAGGUGAGCUUUGGAUGCUCACAGGGUCAGGGCCUCAAGCUCAAAAAACAUUUACAAAAGUAUUACGUAUCAUCCACCAAAGAUGUCCUAUCAUCGAUAAUGGCAAUUUAACUGACGACUAUAUAUAUAACACCCCGAAUUAUGAAUAUUAAUAUAUUAAUUAGUAUUAUUAUUAGAAAAUAGUAGUAUUAUUAUUAGUAUUGGUUUGUUUUAUAUUAUUAAUUUAAUUAUUCAUAUUUGUUCGGAAAAUAGGUAAUGAGGAAAUAGAUAGGUUAAUUGGUGGGUUAGAGUGAAGGAAAAUAAGUUUUAGGAAGAAAAUAACAUUUUUGGCGAGAAUAAUGAAGUAGGGUGCAAACAGUAGUGCAUUUUUUGCAACUCUCCAUAGCACCGAUCUCUUCUUCAUUGCUGAUUGCUUCCCUUUGCUCGAAGAACUCGAUCUUAGUGAUCCCGGAGAGUUCAUCUACCACAGUAGUUUACACGAUGGUGUUGAGGCUAUUUCAUUGCCACUUUUCAAACUCUGCAAGGUUAAUCUCUCUCAUCAUCACUACAUCAACGACCAAUCACUUUUCCAUUUGAUAAACAACUGUAAGCUUCUCGAAGAGGUUAUAGUCUUUUCUUGUCAUAGAUUAACCAUCUCCUGCAUUGCUUCUGCUUGCCGCAAGAGACCAACAUUGACGGUAUCAAUUUCCAUUACUUCCGAACCAGAGGACUAUGCAAUGUAAGUUACUUAACAUUUCAUUGAUCCGUUGGUGAGUUUAAAGGGUUUAACUUGUCUUGAUUUGUUAUAGAAAAUUGUCAUCUUUGUGGUUGUUUUAUUUCUUGAAGCUAUGGACUAACAGUUGUUUCCUUUCUUCAUUAAAUUAGUGUUUAAUUAAUUUUCCUUUGGUCAAAACAAGAUGAAUGAAAUCAUUAAAUCUAUUUGCAACCUUAAUCAGUAUUGAAUGCACAUUAGUUAUAAUGUAUUCAAAACUAUUUUUGUUUUGAAUUUACACACCUAACUUUUGGGUUGAUUUUAUGUAUAAAUGUUUAUUUAUUUGCUGUAAUAAAUCAAAGAAUAAGAAGGUGUCUUAUGGAUCAAGGGGUCCAAUCUAAAUUAUUUCUUGCUGUCUUCAUCUAGUUUUUUGUCGUGUUAAUGAUACGAAGGGAACAUGCAGCAAUUCUUUAUGUAAUUUUUCUUGAUGUUAUAUUGCUCUAUGAAAAUAUUUACUUUCGUGAUGCUGAAUGGUGAACUGCCGUUUUAUAAUUGAAUUGAAGAUUAUUUUCAUGAUGCUAGUAUUCUAGGAAUGAUGAGUAUGUAUAUAUAUGCCAUACUUGAAAUCCUGUAGACGUGCAGGUUUGAGGACGUUCUUGGCGACGUGAGUGCUCGAGGCUUAGCAUGGCGCUACCUCAUUUUUAUUUUGCUUGGAGUCUAAUAUAGACUCAGAUUAGGACAGUGUCGGGAUUAUGUUUAUUUACUUUUGGAUUUCUGUUGUGAUGAUGUUAUUUAUGUAUUUCAGAGACUGGAUAUAUGUUGUUGAGAUGCUGAGACAUCUGAUGAUUUUAUUUGUUUAUUCCGCUGCGAGUUUUUCUGUUGUCAUAUCUC
rnacentral:lncRNA from 1 species